AUUUGAGGUUGUAAACAUGUUAUCAAAAUCUAAAGCUGCAGUUCUAGAAGUUGUCCCAAACAACAAAGGGCACUCACAACCAAGUUAGGUGACAUUUGCAGUGCUGCAGUUUUUAGAGGAGAAGAUCACGCAUAAAUUUUUGUUAUCAUGUACAGCUACUUGAUAUUUGGUUAUUUUUGGAAGAUUUGGUGGCAUUUGCAGCAAUUAUAGCACUUUUGAAGGCACAAGAUCAUGGCUACAUUAUAUUUAUCAUGUAUAACUAUUGGAUUUUUGGGUACAUAUUUGCCUUUUUUUGGAUGUAUGUGAGAUAAUAUAAGAUUAUGCAAGG